CUGGCUCAGGAUGAACGCCGGCGGUGUGCCUAAUACAUGCAAGUCGAACGCGUUGGCCCAACUGAUUGAUUGUGCUUGCACAGGGUUGACGUUGGUUUCCCAACGAGUGGCGGACGGGUGAGUAACACGUAGGCAACCUGCCCCGAAGCGGGGGACAACAUUUGGAAACAAGUGCUAAUACCGCAUAACAACUUUGACCGCCUGGUCAAAGCUUAAAAGAUGGUUUCGGCUAUCACUUCGGGAUGGGCCUGCGGCGCAUUAGCUUGUUGGUGGGGUAACGGCCUACCAAGGCGAUGAUGCAUAGCCGAGUUGAGAGACUGAUCGGCCACAAUGGGACUGAGACACGGCCCAUACUCCUACGGGAGGCAGCAGUAGGGAAUCUUCCACAAUGGGCGCAAGCCUGAUGGAGCAACACCGCGUGAGUGAAGAAGGGUUUCGGCUCGUAAAGCUCUGUUGUUAAAGAAGAAUGUGCAAGAGAGUAACUGUUCUUGUAUUGACGGUAUUCAAACCAGAAAGUCACGGCUAACUACGUGCCAGCAGCCGCGGUAAU
rnacentral:rRNA from 1 species